CACAGAUCUGCCCCCUGACCACACGGCUCUGAGCGGGGCGGAGCUCAGGGGCUCUGCCGGAGCCACGCUGCCGCUGUCGAGCGAAGCUCCUGGAUACGCUGAGGCUCUGGGCACUAUGGAAGACAGGCAUACGGCUGCUGUCUGAGGAUCUGUGACAGGUCUGAGCGGCCCUGCACUGGUACAACGGGGGUUAACCCUUCCUUCCUAGCAAAGGAAGCCACACCCCGGAAGCUCUGCUGGGCAUGCUCCAACUGGAGAAGAGGACAACUUUAAGUGAGGAGUUACUGUAAAAAAGCCUGCAGAGCAGUUCAGUCUGGGCUGACCUCCAGAGGGGAAGGAGGUAUGCCGCCAGCUCCUGAGGAGGGACAGACGGCGCACCAGGAUCCAGAGGCCAGCCAAGCUGAGACGCACCCUGAUGUCCGGACAGAGCACAUUGCAGCAGAGGAACAGACUGGAGGAUCCCCCGAAGUGGAGAACCCAGUGUUUAUGAUGUGAGCUAUGCUUACCAUGAGACCAAUUCUGCCCUCUGUGGCAUCUGUACAAUCCCACUAACUUUACUAUAGUUUUAUGGGUGUAAUUGAGGGCAGAAUUUAGCCCACUAAGGCUCUUCACAGACAGAUGCCUGCA